GUUCAUAGCUGUGGCAAGCUUAAGGGUUAGAAACCCGUAGGCGUAGGGAAACCAACAUGCACGCAACCAGCUUGUCUGGCUAGGUGCGGAGUCUGAAAGGGCUCGGAGUCACAGCUUUGAGACUAGAAACCAGGCGAUCUAGCCCUGGGCAGGGCGAAGCUAGGCGAAAGCCUAGUGGAGGCUCGCAAGGGUGCUGACGUGCAAAUCGUUCUUCAGACCUGGGGCUAGGGGCUAAAGACCAAUCUAGCCUGGUGAUAUCUAGUUCCCUCCAAAGUGGGUCGCAGCCCAGUGCCGGACGAGGCGGCUGAUGGGGUAGAGCACUGAUUAGGAAGUAAGGAUCCGAAAGGGUCCAUUUCUUUUUCAAACUCCGAAUCUAUCAGCGUCGUAGACUCUGGUAAACGGGUUAGUGGGGGUAAGCUCCACGACCGAGAGGGGGACAACCCAGACUGAGGUUAAGGUCCCCAAAUGCUGGCCAAAUGUCAAACUAAAGGGCGUCGUCAGCCUCAGACAGCGGGGAGGUAGGCUCAGAAGCAGCCACCCUUCAAAGAAAGCGUAACAGCUCACCCGCCGAGGCUGACGGCCCCGAAAAUUGACGGGGCUAAGCCAGCCACCGAGACCUCAGAGCGCAACCUAGUGUUGCGUUGGUAGGAAGGCGUCCUGACUGGGCAGAAGCUGGGCCGUGAGGUCCAGUGGACCGGAUCAGGAUUGCAGAUCCCGGCGGUAGUAACAGCUAAGAGGGGUGAGACUCCCCUCCGCCGAAAGGGCCAGGGUUCCCCGGCAACGAUCGUCAGCCGGGGGUAAGUCGGUCCUAAGAUUUGGCCUAACCGACCAUGUCGAAAGGGAAUCCGGUUAAAAUUCCGGAACCACGAAGGUACGCGCGGCAACGCAAGCUCAACGUCUGACGCUUCGAGGUAGGCUGAGCAAGGCUGUCGCCUUGUUUAACCAUAUAAGUCUGGGAAGUGCCGUAAUGGCGAGAACCAGGUGAAAGCGGGAAUAGCCGCCCGUUUUAGGGCGGUUCAGCCAAUUCUUGGAGCCAGUGAAAAGGGCGUUGGGAUGGACCCUUCGUGUCCGUACCUAGAACCGACACAGGUGUCCCAAGGCGAGAAACCUAAGGCGUGUCGGGUAUACACUAUUGCGAGGGAACUCGGCAAUCUAGCCCCGUACCUUUGGUAUAAGGGGUGCCUGCAGUUUCGGCCUUUGGCUGGAACAGCAGGUCGCAGUGACAAGGGGGUCCCGACUGUUUAAUAAAAACACAGGAAACCGCAAGCGCGAAAGCGUGUGAAUGGUUUCUGAAUCCUGGCCAGUACAGGUACCUGAAACCUGGGUCCAACCGGGCCAAGGGCCUGCAAACGCCGGGAGUAACUCUGACUCUCUCAAGGUAGCCAAAUGCCUUGUCGGGUAAGUUCCGACGUGCAUGAAUGGAUCAACGAGGGCCCCGCUGUCCCCACGUAGUACCCGGUGAAACCACAUAACGUGGACGAACAGUCCACGAACUCCCAGCGGGAAAAGAAGUCCCUGUGGAGUUUUACUGCAGCCUGCUGCUGGAAUACGUUUGCGGAUGCAGAGCGUAGACGGGAGCCGUUAAUCCCAGUUUCUCAGGGAACUGG
rnacentral:rRNA from 1 species